rnacentral:rRNA from 1 species
UACGGGGGGAGCAAGCGUUGUUCGGAUUUACUGGGCGUAAAGGGCGCGUAGGCGGUCGUGACAAGUCACUUGUGAAAUCUCCGGGCUUAACUCGGAACGGUCAAGUGAUACUGUCGGACUAGAGUACAGAAGGGGCAACUGGAAUUCUCGGUGUAGCGGUGAAAUGCGUAGAUAUCGAGAGGAACACCUGCGGCGAAGGCGGGUUGCUGGGCUGAUACUGACGCUGAGGCGCGAAAGCGUGGGGAGCAAACGGA